rnacentral:rRNA from 1 species
UUUUCCGGUUGAUCCUGCCGGACCCUAUUGCUAUCGGGGUGAGACUAAGCCAUGCUAGUUGUGCGCUCCCUAGCCAUGUUGGGAGAGCAGCGAACGGCUCCGUAACACGUAGAUAAUCUGACCUUAGGACGGGGAUAAUCCUGGGAAACUGGGUCUAAUACCCGACAGAUGGAUACGCCUGGAAUGGUCAUCCAUUGAAAAGUUCUUGGAGACAUGCUUCCAAGGAUGCCUAAGGGUGAGUCUGCGGCCGAUCAGGCUGUUGGUGGGGUAACGGCCCACCAAACCUAUAACCGGUACGGGCCCUGAGAGGGGGAGCCCGGAGAUGGGAACUGAGACAAGGUCCCAGGCCCUAAGGGGCGCAGCAGACGCGAAACCUCCGCAAUGCGCGAAAGCGUGACGGGGUUACCCCGAGUGCCGUCCGAUGAGGAUGGCUUUUCCUCAUUGUAAGAAGCUGAGGGAAUAAAGGGGGGGCAAGACUGGUGUCAGCCGCCGCGGUAAUACCAGCCCCCUGAGUGAUAGGGACGAUUAUUUAGCCUAAAGCGUCCGUAGCUGGCUUAGUAAGUCCCUCGUGAAAUCCAACGACUUAAUCGUUGGGCGUGCGUGGGAUACUGCUAGGCUUGAGGGCGGGAGAGGUUGACGGUAGUCCAGGAGUAGGGGUGAAAUCCAGUAAUCCCUGGAGGACCACCAGUGGCGAAGGCGGUCAACUAGAACGCGCCUGACGGUGAUGGACGAAAGCUGGGGGAGCGAACCGGAUUAGACACCCGGGUAGUCCCAGCUGUAAACGAUGCGGGCUAGGUGUUGGGACAGCUACGUGCUGCUCCAGUGCCGCAGAGAAGUCGUUAAGCCCGCCGCUUGGGAAGUACGGCCGCAAGGCUGAAACUUAAAGGAAUUGGCGGGGGAGCACCACAAGGGGUGAAGCCUGCGGUUCAAUUGGAGUCAACGCCGGGAAUCACUAGU